AACAGGAUUAGAUACCCUGGUAGUCCACGCCCUAAACGAUGUCUACUAGUUGUCGGGUCUUAAUUGACUUGGUAACGCAGCUAACGCGUGAAGUAGACCGCCUGGGGAGUACGGUCGCAAGAUUAAAACUCAAAGGAAUUGACGGGGACCCGCACAAGCGGUGGAUGAUGUGGAUUAAUUCGAUGCAACGCGAAAAACCUUACCUACCCUUGACAUGUCAGGAAUCCUCGAGAGAUUGAGGAGUGCCCGAAAGGGAGCCUGAACACAGGUGCUGCAUGGCUGUCGUCAGCUCGUGUCGUGAGAUGUUGGGUUAAGUCCCGCAACGAGCGCAACCCUUGUCAUUAGUUGCUACGAAAGGGCACUCUAAUGAGACUGCCGGUGACAAACCGGAGGAAGGUGGGGAUGACGUCAAGUCCUCAUGGCCCUUAUGGGUAGGGCUUCACACGUCAUACAAUGGUACAUACAAAGGGCCGCCAACCCGCGAGGGGGAGCUAAUCCCAGAAAGUGUAUCGUAGUCCGGAUCGCAGUCUGCAACUCGACUGCGUGAAGUUGGAAUCGCUAGUAAUCGCGGAUCAGCAUGUCGCGGUGAAUACGUUCCCGGGUCUUGUACACACCGCCCGUCACACCAUGGGAGCGGGUUUUACCAGAAGUAGGUAGCUUAACCGCAAGGAGGGCGCUUACCACGGUAGGAUUCGUGACUGGGGUGAAGUCGUAACAAGGUAACC
rnacentral:rRNA from 1 species